CACCAAUCCACAGCCACAGGCAGGCUUAGAGACGGAGAGACAAAGGAGGGAAUGGGAGAGCACAAAGGGAGCGGGAAUGAAAUGGAGCCUGCUUCCAGCCAUGUGAAGAUGCCUGCUGCAGCCUCGCCUUCUGCCUUGAAUAAAAGCUCCCUCAGGCCUCCCCAGAAAAAGAUGCUGCCAUGCUUCCUGUACAGCCUGCAGAACAGUGAGUCAAUUUAAUCUCCUUUCUUUAUGAAUUAGCCACUCUCGGGCAAUUCUCUGUAGCAGUGUGAAAAAAGACUAAUACCUCAUCCCCUGACCACAUAUCCUCCCCUCACCCAACGCACAGCUGGAAUCAGGUGUGUUGUCAGCCUCCCCUGUAAAGGUUCAUUUCCAGUUGGUAUACAGGGGGUUCACAGAGACUGGCAUCUGAAUGAUACUGCCUGGAAUGAGCAGUGAUGGGGCCCAGUUCAUUUCCACUUCUCAAAUUGAUGCUCCAUCAGUGAGGCACAAAAGUCAUCCCCACUCCCUUCCACCAGUCCCAGACCAUACUGUCUAGAUGGCUCAUUGCCUAUGUAGUGGCUCUGCCUGAUACCUUUGCAGGAGAAAUGUAAUGUUAGCCUACCUUCACUUUUAGGAGGUACUAAUUUAGGGUAUGAUGGUGGACUAGGUAUUCAAUACCAAGGGCUAUUCUUCUAGGUAAGAAGUUUUAAAUUUUGAGUCAAAACUGUCCUUUACUUUAAAAUUCUGUUUAAAACUCAGGCAUUCUAGAAUUAAUUCCCUGAUUAAACUGGCCAAGACAUGAUCAUUGAACACUGCCCUAUUCUUGGGACUCAUUGCUUACUAUUAUCUUUGCCAUAUAUAUCUUUACUCUCAAGUUUUUCUUUCCUGUACCCAUUCCUGGUCUGACUUUUCUCCACGAGCAAUCCUGCGGCUUUCAUUAGGCAUUGAGCUAUGUGAUGAAAGAGGCCUUAUCUAGUCCUGCCUCAGGAACAAAACCAAUUUAAAAAAUAAUUUUCAACAGCCAUUGUAUGCAAGACACAGUCCUAAGAUGAGGACUGGAAGAUGAGCAAAGGAUACAAUAAUUGGAAGUAGUUUAGAGCUAGUUGGAGAGAUAGACAUAGGUGUAAUGUGAACUAAUAUUAUGUGAUGUCAACUUAGUAACUCAAGAUGGCAAUAAAAUAGAAGUGAGAAUUCCAUUACAUACCUAUUAAAAUGGUCAAAAUCCAGUUACAUCACCAAAUGCUGAUGAGGAUGUGGAGCAAUCCUCAUUUACUGCUGGUGAGAAUGGGAAAUUGUAUGGCCUCUUUGGAAGACAGUUUGGCAAUUUCUUACAAAACUAAGCACAUUCUUCCCAGAUGAUCCAGAAACUGCACUCCUUUGAAUUAAUACAAAGGAGUUGAAAAUCGAUGACCAUACAGAAACCUGCACAUGGAUAUUUAUAGCAGCUUUUUUCAUAAUUGUCAAAACUUGAAAGCAACCAAGAUCUCCUUCAGUAGGUAAAUGGUUCAAUAAACUGUGGUACAGCCAAACAAUGGAAUAUUAUUUAGCACUAAAAGGAUAUGAACUAUCAAGCCAUGAAAAGGAAAACUUAAGGCUGGGCGCGGUGGCUCAUGCCUGUAACACCAGCACUUUGGGAGGCCAAGGCAGGCGGAUCACGAGUGAGAAGGAAGCAUAUGAAUGUUCAGAGAAGAUAAAGUCUAUGUACGCCAUAAAGGAGACAAUGGAAAAGGGGCCUUGAAGUAAAGGUGGAAUUGGCCAGGCAAGAAGGAUAAAGAAGACUAUUAUAGCCCUGGAAAAUAGUAUAAACAAAGACAGUCAGUUCUGCUCUAAGUCUUGUUUUGAAAACAUGAAUUUGUUCCAACCCAAUUCAUAUAUUAGGGAGCAAUCUAAGUGUAAUACAGAUUUUGCAUUUGCUGGUGCAUGGUUUUUCCCUGAGAAACACCAGAUGAAUGGAGAAAACUCUACUGAGCUGAACCAAACAGGGCAGAAGUACACAAAAUGUACACAAGGACACCUCUCAAAUUCCUACCACCUGAGUUUACAGGGUGUGUUAGAAACCCUCUUUCCACCACUUCAUAGGAACUCAUAAGCUGCACCCCUUCCAACGACCAGCUCCAUAUACAAAAUUAAUGUCUGUUUCAGGAUACUCUGCCAUAUUUAUUGCAGCAUGUAUCUAUUUCUUAACCAUUUAAUGUGUGAACUGUGCUACAACUUUAUUAGAUUCCUAUCUUUUUUGUUGUUAUAUUGACAAAACUUCUCAAUGUUGUAACCUCUAACUAUUUUUCCCAUUAGCCCUAUAGUUUUGUUUUUGUUGUUGUUGUUUUGUUUUGUGAGAUGGAGUCUUGCUCUGUUGCCAGGCUGGAGUGCAGUGGCACAAUCUCGGCUCACUGCAACCUCUGCCUCUGGGGUUCAAGCAAUUCUCCUGCCUCAGCCUCCUAAGUAGCUGGGAUUACAGGAGCAUGCCACCACCCCUGGCUAAUUUUUGUAUUUUUAGUAGAGACGGGGUUUCACCAUGUUGGCCAGGAUGGUCUCCAACUCCUGACCUUGUGGUCCACCCACCUCGGCCUCCCACAGUGUUGGGAUUACAGGCGUGAGACCAGACAGCCCUAUAGUUGUUCUUGGCAUGGUUUUUGCAUAACAGGGUGAUUUUAGGAGCAUAGAUGUUGUGCUAUAGCAAAACUGACUGCAGGGGUUAUGGAAUAAAAAUCUUGGAGAACUGUAAGUAUUCAUUCAUUUAUGUAUUCAUUUGACCAAUAUUUGUUGAGUGCCUCCUAUAUGCUAGACUCUGUUCUGAGUGAUGGAGAUAUGGCAGUGAAAAAAACCGACAUAAGGCCAGGUGCAGUGGCUCACGCCUGUAAUCCCAGCACUUUGGGAGGCCGAGGCGGGUGGAUCACAAGGUCAAGAGAUUGAGACCAUCCUGGCCAACAUGGUGAAACCCCGUCUCUACUGAAAAUACAAAAAUUAGCUGGGUGUGGUGGCGCACGCCUGUAGUCCCAGCUACUUGGGAGGCUGAGGCAGGAGAAUCACUUGAACCCGGGAGGUGGAGGUUGCAGUGAGCUGAGACUGCGCCAGCCUGGCAAAAGAGCAGGACUCUGUCUCAAAAAAAAGAACAGACACAAAUUCCUGCCCUCCAGGAAUUUACAUCCUAGUUGGGGAGAUAAACAAAAACAAGAUAAAUAAAUGAAAUAGGCUGGGCCGGUGGCUCACGCCUGUAAUCC
rnacentral:lncRNA from 10 species